rfam:Cavia porcellus supercont2_2 genomic scaffold, whole genome shotgun sequence.
CUGGGUUUAGCUUAGUGGCAUAAGCACCUGCCUUAAAAGCAGGCAGUCGUGAGUUCGAUCCUCGGUACCGAUA